rnacentral:rRNA from 1 species
AAGAGACAGCAGCAGCCGCGGGAAUACAGAGGGUGCGAGCGUUAAUCGGAUUUACUGGGCGUAAAGCGUGCGUAGGCGGCUUCUUAAGUCGGAUGUGAAAUCCCUGGGCUCAACCUGAGAAUUGCAGUGGAUACUGGGUCACUAGAGUGUGGUAGAGGAUAGUGGAAUUUCCGGUGUAGCAGUGAAAUGCGUAGAGAUCGGAAGGAACAUCUGUGGCGAAGGCGACUAUCUGGGCCAACACUGACACUGAGGCACGAAAGCGUGGGGAGCAAACAGGAUUAGAUACCCCUGUAGUCCCUGUCUCUUAUAC